GACGUAGGGCGCGAGCGUUGUCCGGAUUUAUUGGGCGUAAAGAGCUCGUAGGCGGCCAACUAAGUCGGAUGUGAAAUCCCCAGGCUCAACCUGGGAACUGCAUCCGAUACUGGAUGGCUUGAAUUCGGGAGAGGGAUGCAGAAUUCCAGGUGUAGCGGUGAAAUGCGUAGAUAUCGUGGAGGAAUACCGGUGGCGAAGGCGGCAUCCUGGACCGACAUUGACGCGUGAUGAGCGAAAAGCUGA
rnacentral:rRNA from 1 species